rnacentral:rRNA from 1 species
CGUGUAGGCGGAACUACAAGUCAGAUGUGAAAUACCACGGCUCAACCGUGGAACGGCAUUUGAAACUGUAGAUCUUGAGUAUCGGAGAGGCAAGUGGAAUUUCCAGUGUAGCGGUAAAAUGCGUAGAUAUUGGAAGGAACACCGGUGGCGAAGGCGACUUGCUGGACGAUUACUGACGCUGAUGCGCGAAAGUGUGGGGAGCGAACAGGAUUAGAUACCCUGGUAGUC